rnacentral:lncRNA from 1 species
ACUUCCUUUUUAGGAAAUGAAAAGCAAACAGAAAGGUCUUUUAUUUCAAGGUUCUUGAAUUUCUCACCCUCUGGUCCUACUUUACAUCUUCAAAGCUUAAGUGUGAAACAAAGGAAAAGUAGAAGAAAAGAUGUGUAACAGGAGGACCAGAGUUAAGAGACUCACAGAAUCAUUCUCUCUCCCUCCCUCUGUCCCUCUCCCAUUCUCUUUCUUUCAUUCCUCUCUCCUAACCUCCUGUUCUUCCUUCCUUUCUCUUUCUCCUUCCCUCCCUUCCUCCCUUCCUUCCUUCCUUCUUUCCUUUCCUGCCUUCCUUCCUUCCCUUUCUCUCUCUCUCUCUCCCCCUGUCCUUCCUUCUCCUUUCUCUUCCCUUCCUUUCCCUCCCUUCCCUUCUUUCUUUUCCCUCAGUAUGGGGUGAGGAAGGAUUAGUUACAGCCAGCAGAGGCUAUGGAAGCCAAAGCUUCUCCGAUUUAUACGUGCACAUGCGAUCACUCCAGGAUCUGGAAAAGAUACAGACUCUGAGUCGUGGGUCUGAGGUGAGCCUGAGCUUCAGCAUUUCCAGCAAGCCUGGGACAUGCUGGGCAGCAAGCCUCAUGGAGGCGUCAAGGAAUACAGCGCCGAGCAUCAGCCGAGCCUGGUCUUGCUCUGAUGAGGCCCAACGGGGGCUGGUGACGGCAAUGAGGAGGCCCGGCCCUUGCGAGCAGCCAGCAGCGCCAGGACCAGCUGUCCUGAAAUCUGCAGGCUUGCAUCUUGGCUCUUGGGGAUCUUUUGAGCUCAACAGGCUCCCAUGAAGUCCAGGGAAAGGGACUGAGGAGGUGGAGAGGGAGAGAUGAAGACACGGAGGGCAUCGUGUUGGGCGUCCCUGUGAAUGGUGGAGGAGAGAGAGGUGAUGGGAUGUGCCCCUUUCAGGCUGGACCCACCCAGCCCCUCUGAGCUUCAGAAUCCUCCAAACAGAGAAUCAGAAAACACCCCAGAUGUGAGAUUAGGGUUUUCCAAAGUGUGGUGCAGCUACAAAGGCAGCCCAGUCUGAGUUUCCAGGGAUGGGACCGCUUGCUAUGCUGCCCAGGCAAUUCUGACCCACAGCAAAGUUAGAUAACCACAUCACCACAGCGCUCUCCAGCCUUGAAGGCUUCUCCUUCCCAGUGAGCUGAACUCUCUUCCCUACAGAUGUCUCAAUAGGCUUGGGGGAGGGGCUGCUGUACCCAGUCCUUCUCUCUCUCCAGAGGAACUGGAGGCCACUUAAACCUGGUCCCAUAGCUGCCAAGAGUGGGGCCAGGACAGAGUCCAGAUGGGUGGCCUGCCCCCUCUGCACAGCCACCUCCUUCUCCUCUUGCCCUCGGCAAUGCCCUGCUCAGCAACCUACUGCUUCCCUCUCAGGCAUUUGCUCAAGUCUGUAUCUCUUGCCUCCUAUCCCAGUAUUUCCAACCCACCUGUGUAAUGCAUUCCUCACCUGACAGCACACUGAACUUUCCGAUCAGAUCCCUGACUGCCUCUGCCUCCACGCACACAUUUUCUUUGGUUCCCAG